AGGGAAUUUUCGGCAAUGGGGGGGAACCCUGACCGAGCAACGCCGCGUGAAGGAAGAAGGAAUUCGUUCUGUAAACUUCUGUUAUAAAGGAAGAACGGCGGAUAUAGGGAAUGAUAUCCGAGUGACGGUACUUUAUGAGAAAGCCACGGCUAACUACGUGCCAGCAGCCGCGGUAAUACGUAGGUGGCGAGCGUUAUCCGGAAUUAUUGGGCGUAAAGAGGGAGCAGGCGGCGGCAGAGGUCUGUGGUGAAAGACUGAAGCUUAACUUCAGUAAGCCAUAGAAACCGGGCUGCUAGAGUGCAGGAGAGGAUCGUGGAAUUCCAUGUGUAGCGGUGAAAUGCGUAGAUAUAUGGAGGAACACCAGUGGCGAAGGCGACGGUCUGGCCUGUAACUGACGCUCAUUCCCGAAAGCGUGGGGAGCAAAUAGGAUUAGAUACCCUAGUAGUCCACGCCGUAAACGAUGAGUACUAAGUGUUGGGAGUCAAAUUUCAGUGCUGCAGUUAACGCAAUAAGUACUCCGCCUGAGUAGUACGUUCGCAAGAAUGAAACUCAAAGGAAUUGACGGGGGCCCGCACAAGCGGUGGAGCAUGUGGUUUAAUUCGAAGCAACGCGAAGAACCUUACCAGGUCUUGACAUCCGGAUAAAGACCUCAGAGAUGAGGGGAUAGAUAUAUCCGAGACAGGUGGUGCAUGGUUGUCGUCAGCUCGUGUCGUGAGAUGUUGGGUUAAGUCCCGCAACGAGCGCAACCCUUGUCGCUAGUUACCAUCAUUAAGUUGGGGACUCUAGCGAGACUGCCAGUGACAAGCUGGAGGAAGGCGGGGAUGACGUCAAAUCAUCAUGCCCCUUAUGACCUGGGCUACACACGUGCUACAAUGGAUGGAGCAGAGGGAAGCGAAGCCGCGAGGUGAAGCAAAACCCAUAAAACCAUUCUCAGUUCGGAUUGUAGUCUGCAACUCGACUACAUGAAGUUGGAAUCGCUAGUAAUCGCGAAUCAGCAUGUCGCGGUGAAUACGUUCUCG
rnacentral:rRNA from 1 species